AAAGUGCUUCCUUUUAGAGGGUUAC
rnacentral:miRNA from 1 species